CCAGACGGCCGGAUGGCCGCCCUCGACCGGCGUUGCGCCGGCCGGGGGAGGAAAGUCCGGGCUCCACGGGAACACGGUGCCGGGUAACGCCCGGCGGGGGCGACCCCAGGGACAGUGCCACAGAAAGCAAACCGCCGGCCGGGGUCCGCAGGUCCGCCUGCGCGCCUGCCGGCAAGGGUGAAAGGGUGCGGUAAGAGCGCACCGCGUCGCCGGUAACGGCGGCGGCACGGUAAACCCCACCGGGAGCAAGACCAAGUAGGGGCGACAUGCCGGCGCAUGCCGGCGAAGCGCGUUCCCGCGCCGUCGCCCGGGUCGGUCGCACGAGGCGUCCGGUGACGGGCGUCCUAGAUGAAUGGCCAUCGCCCGCUCAACCGGCGGGUACAGAACCCGGCUUACAGGCCGUCUGGCGCC
rnacentral:RNase_P_RNA from 1 species